rnacentral:lncRNA from 1 species
AAGCGAUGCGGGAAAAUAAAGUAAGUAAGGCAAUGUGACAAAGCAAAUAAAAUAAAUCGGUGUGGAAUGUAUUAAAAACCUGCUCCAAUAGGAGACUUGAAUCUGGUACAACUGAAAUGUAAAUGGCGGUAAGAUUAAAUGCUACGACUACGAUGCUCUAAACUUAAUGACAACAAUAGUGUGAUAACCCCUCGAUGUGAC